CCUACGGGUGGCAGCAGUGAGGAAUAUUGGUCAAUGGGCGGGAGCCUGAACCAGCCAAGCCGCGUGAGGGAAGAAGGUACAGCGUAUCGUAAACCUCUUUUGUCAGGGAACAAAGGCGGGGACUAGUCCCCGGAUGAGGGUACCUGAAGAAAAAGCAUCGGCUAACUCCGUGCCAGCAGCCGCGGUAAUACGGAGGAUGCGAGCGUUAUCCGGAUUUAUUGGGUUUAAAGGGUGCGCAGGCGGUCUGUUAAGUCAGCGGUCAAAGCCCGGGGCUCAACCCCGGCCCGGCCGUUGAAACGGGCAGUCUCGAGUUGGAGAGAAGUAUGCGGAAUGCGCGGUGUAGCGGUGAAAUGCAUAGAUAUCGCGCAGAACUCCGAUUGCGAAGGCAGCAUGCCGGCUCCACACUGACGCUGAGGCACGAAAGCGUGGGUAUCGAACAGGAUUAGAUACCCUGGUAGUC
rnacentral:rRNA from 1 species